GACAGAGGGUGCAACCGUUGUUCGGAAUUACUGGGCGUAAAGCGCGUGUAGGCUGCUCCGCAAGUCGGAUGUGAAAGCCCUGGGCUCAACCUAGGAAGUGCAUUCGAAACUGCAGAGCUGGAGUCCUGGAGAGGAAGGCGGAAUUCUCGGUGUAGAGGUGAAAUUCGUAGAUAUCGAGAGGAACACCGGUGGCGAAGGCGGCCUUCUGGACAGUGACUGACGCUGAGACGCGAAAGCGUGGGGAGCAAACAGG
rnacentral:rRNA from 1 species